rnacentral:rRNA from 1 species
GACAGAGGGUGCAAACGUUGCUCGGAAUCACUGGGCGUAAAGGGCGCGUAGGCGGACGAGUAAGUCGGGCGUGAAAGCCCCGGGCUCAACCUGGGAACCGCGCUUGAGACUGGCACGCUAGAGUUCGGGAGAGGAUGGUGGAAUUCCCAGUGUAGAGGUGAAAUUCGUAGAUAUUGGGAAGAACACCGAUGGCGAAGGCAGCCAUCUGGACCGACACUGACGCUGAGGCGCGAAAGCGUGGGGAGCAAACAGG